GACGAACGCUGGCGGCGUGCUUAACACAUGCAAGUCGAGCGGUAAGGCCCUUCGGGGUACACGAGCGGCGAACGGGUGAGUAACACGUGGGUGACCUGCCUCUAGCUCUGGGAUAAGCCUGGGAAACUGGGUCUAAUACCGGAUAUGACUCCACGGCGCAUGUUGUGGGGUGGAAAGCCUUGUGUGGCUAGAGAUGGGCCCGCGGCCUAUCAGCUUGUUGGUGGGGUGAGGCCUACCAAGGCGACGACGGGUAGCCGGCCUGAGAGGGCGACCGGCCACACUGGGACUGAGACACGGCCCAGACUCCUACGGGAGGCAGCAGUGGGGAAUCUUGCGCAAUGGGCGAAAGCCCUGACGCAGCGACGCCGCGUGAGGGAUGACGGCC
rnacentral:rRNA from 1 species